GACGAACGCUGGCGGCGUGCUUAACACAUGCAAGUCGAACGAAAGGACGGGAAGAGCUUGCUCUUUCCGGAAUUGAGUGGCAAACGGGUGAGUAACACGUAAACAACCUGCCUUCAGGAUGGGGACAACAGACGGAAACGACUGCUAAUACCGAAUAAGUUCCAAGGACCGCAUGAUCCAUGGAAGAAAGGGUGGCCUCUACGAGUAAGCUAUCGCCUGAAGAGGGGUUUGCGUCUGAUUAGCUGGUUGGCGGGGUAAGGGCCCACCAAGGCGAUGAUCAGUAGCCGGUCUGAGAGGAUGAACGGCCACACUGGAACUGAGACACGGUCCAGACUCCUACGGGAGGCAGCAGUGGGGAAUCUUCCGCAAUGGGCGAAAGCCUGACGGAGCAACGCCGCGUGAGUGACGACAGCCUUCGGGUUGUAAAACUCUGUGAUCCGGGACGAAAGGGCAGGCUGCGAAUAACAGCCUGGA
rnacentral:rRNA from 1 species